AUACGGAGGAUGCGAGCGUUAUCCGGAUUUAUUGGGUUUAAAGGGUGCGUAGGCUGUGCGUUAAGUCAGGGGUGAAAUGCCGUCGCUCGACGACGGAGCCGCCCUUGAUACUGGCGUGCUGGAGUACGGAUGCCGUUGGAGGAAUGAGUGGUGUAGCGGUGAAAUGCUUAGAUAUCACUCAGAACACCGAUUGCGAAGGCAUCUGACGAAUCCGUCACUGACGCUGAGGCACGAAAGCGUGGGGAUAGAACAGGAUUAGAGACCCUGGUAUUCCACGCCGUAAACGAUGAUGACUAACCGUCGGCGAUAGACAGCCGGUGGCCAAGCGAAAGCGAUAAGUCAUCCACCUGGGGAGUACGUCGGCAACGAUGAAACUCAAAUGAAUUGGCGGGG
rnacentral:rRNA from 1 species